rnacentral:rRNA from 1 species
AUUGAACGCUGGCGGAAUGCUUUACACAUGCAAGUCGAACGGCAGCACGGACUUCGGUCUGGUGGCGAGUGGCGAACGGGUGAGUAAUGUAUCGGAACGUGCCCAGUCGCGGGGGAUAACGUAGUGAAAAUUACGCUAAUACCGCAUACGAUCUAUGGAUGAAAGCGGGGGAUCGCAAGACCUCGCGCGAUUGGAGCGGCCGAUACCAGAUUAGGUAGUUGGUGGGGUAAAGGCCCACCAAGCCAACGAUCUGUAGCUGGUCUGAGAGGACGACCAGCCACACUGGAACUGAGACACGGUCCAGACUCCUACGGGAGGCAGCAGUGGGGAAUUUUGGACAAUGGGCGAAAGCCUGAUCCAGCCAUUCCGCGUGCAGGAUGAAGGCCCUCGGGUUGUAAACUGCUUUUGUACGGAACGAAAAGGUCUCUCUUAAUACGGGGGGCUCAUGACGGUACCGUAAGAAUAAGCACCGGCUAACUACGUGCCAGCAGCCGCAGUAA